rnacentral:rRNA from 1 species
AGUGAACGCUGGCGGUAGGCCUAACACAUGCAAGUCGAACGGCAGCACAGUAAGAGCUUGCUCUUACGGGUGGCCAGUGGCGGACGGGUGAGGAAUACAUCGGAAUCUACUUUUUCGGGGGGGAUAACGUAGGGAAACUUACGCUAAUACCGCAGACCACCUACGGGGGAAAGCAGUGGAUCUUCGGACCUUGCGCGAUUGAAUGAGCCGCUGUCGGAUUUGUUAGUUGGCGGGGUAAAGGCCAACCAAGGGGGCGAUCCGUAGCUGGUCUGAGAGGAUGAUCAGCGACACUGGAACUGAGACACCGUCCAGACUCCUACGGGAGGCAGCAGUGUGGAAUAGUGGACAAUGGGGGGAAGCCUGAUCCAGUCAUACCGCGUGGGUGAAGAAGGCCCUCGGGUUGUAAAGACCUUUUUUUGGGUAAGAAAAGCAGCAGGUUAAUACCCCGCUGUUCUGACGGUACCCAAAGAAUAAGCACCGGCUAACUUCGUG